GACAGAGGUGCCGAGCGUUAGGCGGAAUCACUGGGCUUAAAGCGUGUGUAGGCGGAUCUGUAAGUACCUUGUGAAAUCCCACGGCUCAACCGUGGAACUGCUUGGUAUACUGCGGGUCUUGAGGCCACCUAGGGGCAAAGUGGAACAAACGGUGGAGCGGUGAAAUGCGUAGAUAUCGUUGGAACGCCAAUGGUGAAAACAGCUGCGCUGGGGCUGACGCUGACGCUGAGGAGCGGAAAGCAUGGGGAGCGAACAGG
rnacentral:rRNA from 1 species